GGUCAAUAAUGACAACCCAACAUGGUGAAAGAAAUGAUGACAUUGAAAUCAUGCUUAAUAGGAUGACACUGAGGCAC